UGAACUUCGGGACGACCAAGAGGCUUAUCGACAUUGCCAGAAGAACGUCUGCCAAAGAAGACGCUUUAUACCAGCUCAGAUUCCAAAACGGAGUUGAUAAGAGGACUGAGGAUUUCAAAACCAUAGAAGCAGCAAUGUUUGAAGAGACACCGGAACAUGCUUUGGAGAUCAACAGACAGAGCAGACUGGUUAACUGGAUAUCUUUUCUAAUCAGGAGGGAGAAAGUCAACGCCACGGUGAGAGAGAUCAUUGACUUUGCCAAACUUCCCAAACACUUGGACACUGUUUACUGCCCAUAUGAGUUUUCCGAGAAAUGUACGAG